UGAUUAGCAUAUUUGGUUGAAAGAGAUCUUUAGUUUAAUUGUGCAAAUUCAUGAUAAGUGUGAUAAGUGUGCUUCAUUAAAUCCAUCAAGGUGUAAACAAGUAGUUAUUAGCACAAGAUUCUAAUAAAGGCAAAAUAAAUUAUUGGUUUUGUUUUAUGAUCUAGCACAAAAAAUAACUAGUACGUAGAGUUGUCAAAAGGAGCCACCCGGCCCGCCCCACCACGUGUUGGUCAAUUAGUGAGCCAACUUAAUAUGACUCAUUUAUUAGCGAUCCAAAAAAGGGCGUUGCUCCCUACACCUUCUCAUUUUCUCCCUCCACCUCUCCCUUCCUUUUCUGCCCCUUAUUCUAUAUUUUCUAUUCCUAAUUUAUCCUUUUCAUUUUUAAAGUUAAAACUCACUCCGUAUACAAUAUUAAAAUCUUUAAACGAAUAUAGACAUCCGUCAUCCGUUU
rnacentral:lncRNA from 1 species